rnacentral:rRNA from 1 species
GUAGGGAAUUUUCGUCAAUGGGCGCAAGCCUGAACGAGCAAUGCCGCGUGAGUGAGGAAGGUCUUCGGACUGUAAAGCUCUGUUGCCGGGGAAAAAGGGGAAAUGCAGGAAAUGGCAUUUCAUGGAUGGUACCCGGCCAGAAAGCCACGGCUAACUACGUGCCAGCAGCCGCGGUAAUACGUAGGUGGCGAGCGUUAUCCGGAAUGAUUGGGCGUAAAGGGUGCGCAGGCGGUCUGUUAAGUCUGAAGGCAAAGGGAUGAGCUCAACUCAUUUAUGAUUCAGAAACUGGCAGACUUGAGGACAGGAGAGGGCGGUGGAACUCCAUGUGUAGCGGUAAAAUGCGCAGAGAUAUGGAAGAACACCAGUGGCGAAGGCGGCCGCCUGGCCUGUGACUGACGCUGAGGCACGAAAGCGUGGGGAGCAAAUAGG